rnacentral:tRNA from 1 species
GUCGUCGUCCGCGCGGACGUACACGCGGGCCGCCUGCCGCGCGGCCCCCUCCGUGCCGAGCACCGCGCCCUGGAUCGCGGACAGGGCGAGGACG